rnacentral:tRNA from 1 species
GGGCUCGUAGCUCAGCAUGGAUAGAGCGCCUGCCUUCUAAAUUCUAUUGAAGAAUUCUAUUGAAGAGAGCCGGAAGUCGUGGGAUCGAAGCCCACCGGGCCCG